rnacentral:rRNA from 1 species
AUACGUAAGGGGCGAGCGUUAUCCGGAUUUAUUGGGCAUAAAGCGUGCGUAGGUGGUGAUUUAAGUCAGAUGUUAAAUCCUUCGGCUCAACCGGAGUUCGCAUUUGAUACUGGAUCACUAGAGAGCAGAAGAGGAAAGCGGAACUCAUGGUGUAGCGGUGAAAUGCGUAGAUAUCAUGAGGAACACCAGUUGCGAAGGCGGCUUUCUGGUCUGUUUCUGACACUGAGUCACGAAAGCGUGGGGAGCAAACGGGAUUAGAAACCCCGGUAGUCC